GACGUAGGGGGCCAGCGUUGUUCGGAAUUACUGGGUGUAAAGGGUUCGUAGGCGGUGUGGCAAGUCGGGAGUGAAAUCUCUGGGCUCAACUCAGAGACUGCUUCCGAAACUGCUGUGCUGGAGUGUGGGAGGGGCGCGUGGAAUUGCAGGUGUAGCGGUGAAAUGCGUAGAUAUCUGCAGGAACACCCGUGGCGAAAGCGGCGCGCUGGACCACUACUGACGCUGAGGAACGAAAGCUAGGGGAGCAAACGGG
rnacentral:rRNA from 1 species